rnacentral:rRNA from 1 species
GCGACCCAGGUCAGGCGGGACUACCCG